GGAAUCUUGGACAAUGGGGGCAACCCUGAUCCAGCCAUGCCGCGUGAGUGAAGAAGGCCCUAGGGUUGUAAAGCUCUUUCAGCGGGGAAGAUAAUGACGGUACCCGCAGAAGAAGCCCCGGCUAACUCCGUGCCAGCAGCCGCGGUAAUACGGAGGGGGCUAGCGUUGUUCGGAAUUACUGGGCGUAAAGCGCACGUAGGCGGAUUGGAAAGUUGGGGGUGAAAUCCCGGGGCUCAACCCCGGAACUGCCUCCAAAACUAUCAGUCUGGAGUUCGAGAGAGGUGAGUGGAAUUCCGAGUGUAGAGGUGAAAUUCGUAGAUAUUCGGAGGAACACCAGUGGCGAAGGCGGCUCACUGGCUCGAUACUGACGCUGAGACGCGAAAGCGUGGGGAGCAAAC
rnacentral:rRNA from 1 species